GAUGAACGCUGGCGGCGUGCCUAACACAUGCAAGUCGAACGGAAACGCCCUGCUAAGGUGGUCUGCUCGAGUGGGGAAAGGGUGAGUAACAGGUGGGUAACCUACCCUUGGCUUUCGGGUCACAUAAGGGAAGUGGACCUAAUACAAUAUAUGAGAUUACGCCGUAUGGUGAGGGUUGGAAAUUUACGGCGGUUGAGGGUGGAGUUGCGGCUUAUCAGCUUGCUGGUGGGGUAGGGGCUUACCAAGGCAUUGACGGGUAGCCGGCCGGUGAGGGUGACCGGCAACGGGGGGACUGGGAUAGGGCCAAGGCUCCUACGGGAGGCAGCGGUGGGGAAUAUUGCAAAAGGGGCGGAGGGCGGAUGCAGCAACGCCGCGUGCGGGAUGACGGCCUUCGGGUGGGAAACCGCUUUCGCCUGUGACGAGGCGUGAGUGACGGUAAUGGGUAAAGAAGCACCGGCUAACUACGU
rnacentral:rRNA from 1 species